rnacentral:lncRNA from 1 species
GAGUGCCAGCUUGUGAGAGAGUGGCAGCCUGAUGCCUGCACCCUGGGCCACUGAGUGUUAUUGCACCAUAUUGCAAAUUCUCCUCACUAGAAAGGGUACUUCCAAAGCUAUCUUGUGCUGAGUGUGUUCUGCAAUGGGUAUGGCUUAUCCACCACAUCCUCUCUCUCCCUGAUGUUUGUUCGAUGUUUAUAUGCCAACAGUUUUGACCGCUGAUAACUGAGAAAAUGUUUACAAAUGACAGUACUAGAAAGAAAACCAUGAAGAGCAACAUAAUGGAUGUCAAAAGUUAAGUUUUGUAGGAGCUUGAAAAUUCCUCAGAAAAAAAUGGUCAUGGAUAAGAAAAGAGAAGGAGAAAAUCAGCAGGCAAGAGACUGGUGGGAGUCCUUUGACACAUGAGGAGCCUAAACUAACAUUGUCGUCUGAGAGGACCUCCAGACAACUGUAUGAAUGGGGCUGAAGGAACAUGACAGGUCACGACUUCGGAGAAUGCAGAGAGGAGUGAAGAGCCAUUUGCCAAAGUACAAAAGAGGGAAUGUGAUUCCACAGGAUCUGUGCCAUAAAUAACCCUUAUGGCUCUUAUUCAAUUAGCGCUCCCUUUUCCAAGAGGACAAUCGAUGCUGCCAAACUGGGUAGGUAUGAUUAUUUUAUUUCUCCUACUGAAUGGUAAGCUCUUUUAACAAGAGAUUCUAUGUCUCAAUUAUAUUUGACUUCCUUAGGAGUCUACUACAGAGUCAUGCCAAAAACUUCUUAAAUGAAUGAAUGAAUGGAUUUCUGAAUGAAACAGACUAGUCACCAUCUCUGACAUGUCACUGUCAUGUGUAAUAAGGGUCUCUAGUGGACUAGUAACAAAAAUCCCACAUAGGUUGGGGUUCUCUGAUUUAUGUCUUCUCAUCACUUCAGAAUAUCUAGAUCUCACUUUCAGUCCAAUCAAAGUCUCCCACAAACUGAAUAUGUUGCCCACCAAAAAGGAGAUUCAGAAAUUAUUCCUUCCUCACCUAGGCAAUAUAGAUGAGUUUAUACAAAGAAAGUGACACCUUCAAGGGAGCCUAAUGGAGCAUUAUCUCCCCCUCUAAGAGGACAGAAGGAGAGGCAAGGCAGUGUGUUGGGUCUGGCCCAGGUUUAUCAGGUUUGAUUUUCCUUUCACUCAACACUCAGAGAGAGAGAGAGACCAACACUGGGCACCUUUGCAGGAAACUGCAGUGAUUUUAGCAGAGUAGAAAGUGGAAGAGUGAAAUGUUAUUACUAUAACAACUGACACCAUAAUUGUUCCUCAGAGAACAACUGUCUUUGCUGAGUAAAUACCUUGAUAAGCAGCUUACUUUGGAGGGUGAGUCAUGAGAAUAACAAAGAGAUAGAUAGCUAUCCUAUAUGAGAAAGCAAGAGCAAUGUGUUUUGUUACUGAAAGGUGAAAAAGAGAAAGGAUCUAAGACCUAAGGUGGAAAGGAGAGAGGAACUAGGAUGUAGGAUGAAGCUCUGGAGUAAUACCACUUGUGAAAGUUCUCCAGUGGUGGGGCAAAGACAUUUUUAAGAAUGAGGACAGUCUCAGGUUCAACACUCUUGAUAUGGCUAUACUUUAAAAUCCUCUUGUUAUACCUCAAAGUUUCUUAUUAAAAUCUACUAAUCACAAAAGAAAAUUGCUUUUAGGCAUAGAAACUGUGAAAACAAAGAGAAGAUUUAAUGUUUAGGUUGCUAUUUUGUGUCUUAAAUUUUGUUUAGGUUGAUAUUAUGAGAAACAAAAAUAGCAUAAAAGGGACAAUGAAACUACCCAUAAAGGAAGCAAGAGUUUAGAACCAAUGCUAAUGAAGAGAAAAUAAUUUCCCUAGAAAUUCCCUAGUAAUCCUGGGGAGUUUUUUUGAUCUCUCACAGAUGUGGAAUUGGAGCUUUGAGUCCAUCUUAUCUAGAUCUCAAGAGAAAGAAGGGCCCAACUAACAUCAAGGUUAUGGGCGAAUAACAAAAAUCUGUGUACAUUGGCAUUCUCUGGUUCACGCCCACUUAUUUUCAUAGAAUCAAAGGAUUUCACAUUCACUCCCAAAAAAGUCUCGCUAAAUCUUUCUAGAUGUUCCUCAGACACAUUCCUCAUGUAUGCCAGAAUAAGACUAUCUGCCACUACUUGGUGACCGUCACUUUUCCUCUUUCCGUGCUUGCCUCAUGGAUGUGACUUCUCACUGCCAGCACUACCUCUUACCACAGGUGUUGCUUCCAAUGGCUAUCCCCUUCUCCCCUGACCAAAGUCACAUCCCAAUUAAGUCAUUCUUUCUAAAGUGUGGAGAUUCCACAUGUUUUAAUUAUCCGAGGCUGUGUAAAAAACCACCCCAAAACUUAGUGGCUUAAAACAACAACUUAUUAUUUCUCAUGAUCCUGUGGGUUGACUGAGCAUUUUUUCCUGCUUCAUGUAGUGUCAGAGGCUAGGAUGCUAGAAGAUCAAAAAUGGCCUCGUUGACAAUGGCUGGCGCUUAGUGCUGGCUGGAGGCUAAGAACUCAGUUAGGGCUGGAGGCUGGAGGCUUUGGUUUUCCUCCAGUGGGUCUUAUCCUGUGGUUUCUUGGGCUUCCUCACAACAUGGUGGCCGAGUUCCAAGAAAAGUGAAAGGGGAAGCUGUAGAUCUCUUAAGGCCGGGCAUUAGAAGUUACAUAACAUCACCUCUGCAAUAUUCUAUUGGUAAAAUCUAAAGAAGGGAAAAAUACAUUCCAUUUCUUUAUGGGAAAAAAGAAAAGAAAGGAAGAAAGAAAAAUUGCAGUCAUCCUUAACUUACUACACCAUCCUACUCUGCGUGCACACACACACACACACACACACACACACACUCCAGUGCUGUACUCUCUCACACUGAAUCUCUAAGCACCCCUCUACUUCCAACCUCUUGCAGAGAGUCUAUAUGAGAACCACAAGUCUAUUUCUAUUGGCAGCACCCUAAGGCUUAGAAAACAGAAGAGGAGAGUCUGGUAGCAGCACCAGUCUGCUGAAUUGAUCCCUCCCUGCCAAGCAGUCUCCUGCCUAAACUCCCUUGCUUUUCAGCCCACAUUUCCUCCUUUGACCAGCCCGUUUAUCACAGGGUUUCUGCUGCACUGGCUUACUCAAAAAAGCAUGAGUUCACCUUAAUCAGAAAGAUAUGCAUGUGCCAUCUUUGAUAAGGGGCUAACUAUGAAAUGUCUCUGCUAUGUAUCCACUAUUGGCACAGAGGCGACAGACUCUUCAAAGUGUUCAUGAUGGUCACAGAUUACUGCAACUCCCUGAAUCUAACUCAGCACAGCAAUUCGGCUCUCUGGAAGUAUGCCUCAACUACCUCAACCUGAACUACUUUAGAAGGACUCCCAGUGGGUCAAGGUCCUGAUCUGGUGCAAUUCCAAAAUUUUCUGGUGCGUCCAGGAAGCUAAGAAGGUGAAAAAUCACACAGCUACACUUACCCCCCCAAAACAAAUUCCCAGCAUGGUACAGUCCCUGAUCAGCCUGUGUCUAGAUCCAAGACUAGCAAAAAAUCCUAGGGGGUUAAAAAAAAGGUAGAAGAUAGAACUGAAUGAGGAAGAAGAGGAGUGUAGCAUUUCUAAUUCCCACCUUGUCCUCAGCAUAGAAGUUUAAAACUGCUAACAUUGCAAAAGGAUGACUUUCCUCCUGUUCCCUGUCCAGACAACCAAGAUUCUGACCUGACCAACUGCUAAAACCAUACCCCAAGGACAGUUACCAAUUAAGCAAAUUAAGCCAGAGAUAAGGUACAGUCUUUCCCCAGUCCACACUUCAGGAUUCAAACUGCUCCUCUCCACCCUCAACUUUCAGAAGAAACACAGUCAAGGAGAAGAGCACUUGAUGACAACCAAAGGGACAAUGAGUUUCUUCCCACGGUAGCUUCCCACCAACUCCUGACUCCGAGCUUCACUGUGUUUUGUUAUGAAUAUUAAAAAGGAAAAGCUGCUAUCAGCAAGAGCAGGGUGUUUGUGAUAAAUUACUGUCUUGGCUUCUAUUGAUUAAUUGCAAUUCAUUAUUCAGACAGGUGAUGGGCAAUUCAUGUUACUCCCACUUCCUGGAGAUGAUCAGCAGCCAGAUCUUCCAAACAGCUAAGUGAAAAAACAGGAACAACUCAGGACAGUGAAUGGUGUGUUGCUGAAUGCCCUGUUUCAUUAGUUCUCCCUAUCAUCAUCUCAUGGAGAAGCAAAUUUCCAAUUCAGAUGAAUCUGUAUCAUCAUCUGAAAGCAGGAACAGCAAAAUACGUUUUUCCUUAAUGAGAAAAAGUAGUGCAAAUCUGAAGAAGCACAGUGUCCCAACUGCACACCUUUGCUGCUGCUCUCAGGUCUGAAGGUCAUGUCCUUUCCCCUCCCUGUCUCCCUCGACCCUUCUCUUUAUUCAUCCAACUCAUUCUCAGACUUCUCUCCAAAAGCCACUCUAACUCCACAAGUGAGGCCAGCACUUUUCUUCUGCACCCCUCUAUCCCCCGUUCUCACCUCCACUGCUGCACUUGCCCGAUGUAAAGUUACUCAGUCAUGGUCAUGUGUCUCUCCAGAACAGGAGGCCGAUAAAGAUUAGCGCUGUGUCUUUCUCUGCUUGCGUCACUAGAUCCUGAUCCCCUCUCUGGCACAUACAAAGUAUUGAAUCCACAUUGAACUGAGCUGAACAGACAUCUAACAUACUAUUUAGUGACUUUUAGCAUCCUCUGCCUUCUCCUUGAUGGUAGCAAAUCAGUUAUAUUAUUAUGUUUCAUAGUCAUGAGGUUAAAUUAAAUGCAUCUCAAAGAAGUUUUGAGCUUGCCUGAUCUCUGCUCUCUAAAAUAAUGUGGGUGAACAGUAUAGCAGCAAUACUUUUCUAUUACUUUCUUGACUCAGUCUUUGAGUCGCUUUUCCAGUAAGAAGUAUCCUUUGUUAAGGUAUCCACAGUCUCUCCUGAGUUCUUAUUGCGCUAAAGCCAGAUGUUUGCAAGUUAUAUGGCCAUUCUGGGAACGCUGUCCCACAGAUUGACAGGAUAAACUUACAACUUGCCCUCACCAACACUUUACAUACAUGCUCCCACACACAUGUAUAUGUGUACAAGAGUGUGCCCAUUUGCAGAUAGUUUCUGAAUUUAUCCUUGAAAAGCCCCCAUAAAGCUUCUCAGAAUUAUAAGGACUCUCAAUUACAUUUCAAAUACACAGAAUUUUUUUAUUUAAUAUUUUUAAGACCACACCUGUAGCACAUCGAAGUUCCUGGGGCUAGGGGUUGAACUGGAGCUGCAGCUGCCAGCCUACACCACAACAACAGCAAUACUAGAUCUGAGCAGCAUCUGUGACCUAUGCAGCAGCUAGUGGCAACACCAGAUCCUUAACACAAUGAGCAAGGUCAGGGAUAGAACCCAAGUCCUCAUGGACACUAUAUUGGGUUCUUAACCAGCUGAGCCACAACAGGAACUCCCGAAUUUUUUUUUUUUAUUUUUUUUAUUGUGCUCAAAAGAAUUAUUUUCUGCUUACCUUCCUUUCAAAGUCACUGAUGCUAAACUUCAAGGCCUGGGUGUUCCCAGGUAUCUUCUGGUGAAUUUCUUUUUUUACCUGUCAAGUUUUCCAAAGUCAAGGGUAACUCAAGGAGUUCCCAUUGUGGCUCAGCAAUAACAAACCCAGCUAGUAUCCAUGAGGGCUCUAUCCCUGGCCUCGCUCAGUGGGUUAAGGAUCUAUCUUUGCUGUGAGCUCCGGUGUAGGUUGCAGAUGCUGCUCAGAUCUAGAGUUGCUGUGGCUAUGGUAUAAGCCUGCAGCUGCAACUCUGAUUCGACCCCUAGCCUGGGAACUUGCACAUGCUGCAGAUGUGGCCCUAAAAAGACAAAAAAAAGCGGGGGGGUGUAACUCCACAAAGGCACUGCACCCUUCUUCUGGCAUUCCAGUAGAUUGGGAUGGAUUACAUAGAUUCUCUGCCUCUGGGUUGGACGAUUAUGGCCCUGAAGGUAGAUACCCUCAGAUGAUGUAAGGUGUACAUAGUAUGUGGUACCCUUACUUUCCUCCAAGGUGUUCUUAUUUAAAGUAAGGGAGGCAGCAAGAAGUCUCAGAAGAUACUCCAGACUGGGAGUCAGGAGAACUGUCUCAAAUAUUUUACAGAAGGAAGUGGUACAUGAAUACGUAAAUAGGUAAGUAGGUAGAUAAGUAAAUAAACAGAAUUUCUCUACUAACCAGCACUCUGAGAUUAGGCAAGUCAUCCCUCCCCUCUGGGCCUUAGUGUCUGGUUCUCUAAAAUGAGGGGGAAGGCGUUGGACUGGUUGGUCACCAAGCUGUGUUCAAGGCUUCUAGUCUACGAUGUCAUCUGUGAAUAGCUUUCCUUCCUCCCGCUUUCCCAUUCUCACUGCCGGUAUGUCUCCUCAUUCCCCACCAUCCUCUCCCAUGGAUCUUUCUCCUCAAGGUGACUUUAGAUCUGCUGAGAUCUGCUUCCUUACAUUUCAUUCGUUUAUGGCCCUGGAAUUCUAUCACUCCUCAGUCCAUGGCCCUUCUCCAUGGUGGCCGUUUGCCCUUCAAUCUUUAAAUGCUUUCUUCAUGUUAACAAGAAGCAAAGAAAAGCCCCUGACUCCCUUAUUUCCGGUAGCGAACAGUUCUGAAGUGACCUGAAAAGUUAAUGUAACUUCCUCAAAUGCCUCACGCAUGGACCUACAGAGAAGUGAAGCCGCUGGCUCACCCUGGCUCUCAGUCAUCUGUUUUUAAUUGCAUCUGUCCCCGUAUUAGCCAUGGGCUUCAGUUUCACAGCCUGGGAUGAGCCAUUCAGGGAAACCACCUUCCCCGUCUUCCCCAAACACCUCCAGCCUGAAAGGAGCCGUCAUGGAUAGCAUCUCACGUUGAUAGUUUUCCUUUUAAUAUUUAUAAACAGCAAAGUAUUUUUCUCUCCCCCACUUGAAAUGUAUAUAUUCACUCAUUAAAAGGCAUUGACGUGGCUGAGGUAAUGGCCUGUCGACAGAUUUACAGCAGGAACCAUCUCACUGCCUGCAGGCCUGUGCGUUUUAAUAUAAUUAAAAGGCUUCUGUUUGGAAUCUUAGCUAAUUAAUAUUCAUGCUUUCCUCCUUCCACCUGCCAUUCCCAAUUUGCUGUCUUUUUAGGAGAUUGAUCAUGGCCCAAUUAAUCCUACCACCAGUCAAAGCAAGGCAGGCAGGGGAAGAAAGGGGGAAAUGCCAUUGCAGUGCUGGCUUCCUAAUGAGAAAAGAGCAUGAAAGAAUGGAAAUCGCCUGGUUUAUGAGGAAAGAAUCUCUAUGAAUAUGGGAACUGGUAAGAGUGGAACCACUGACCAGGAAUUGUGGAUUAACUGCUCUCACUGAAGUGAGCUCAACUUAUUAAUCUUCGAGCGUCUUCACAAGUUUCAUUCAUGCUACAAAUCAGAACAGGAAACUGGAGAAGCAGGUAAUAUAUUUUUUUUUUUAUUUUUUAAAAGAGAAUAAAAGUGAAAAUGGCAGCAACAGGUAUUUCUCACUACUCAGUAACUGAGAAAACCAUCCACCAAUCGAAGUGUGGUCACAUAUUUUUCUUUGUCUCUGCCAUUCUUUAACACCCAGGCUUACGAAUGGAAAUUGUUUUGCCGGAAAAAAACAAAAACUAAAAACAAAAAAAAAA